rnacentral:misc_RNA from 1 species
UUUCCGUAGGUGAACCUGCGGAAGGAUCAUUAGUGAAUUUAGGACUGCCGUCAGGCGUCCAACCCCUCACUUUCUAACUCUGUGCACUAUGUUGGUCUAUUCAAACUGGAACGAGUUCUUAGAAUUCUAUUACAAACUGAAUACGAUCUUUCACACUUUUUUAAACAUCAGUCAAUGAAUGUCAUCAAAUACAAAACAAAAAAAAACUUUCAACAACGGAUCUCUUGGCUCUCGCAUCGAUGAAGAACGCAGC